rnacentral:rRNA from 1 species
GACGAACGCUGGCGGCGGGCUUAACACAUGCAAGUCGAACGGAAAGGCCUGCUUUCCUUCGUGUAUUGCGGGUACUCGAGUGGCGAACGGGUGAGUAACACGUGAGUGAUCUGCCCCCAACUUGGGUAUAAGCCAGGGAAACUGGUUCUAAUUCCCGUCAGGACUGCAGGGUGGUGGCUGUUGUGGAAAACGAUCAUCGAGUGUGUGGGGAUGAGCUCGCGGCCUAUCGGGUGGGUGGUGGGGCAAUGGCAUACCAAGGCGGCGACGGGUAGCGGGCGUGAGACGAUGGACGGCCGCACUGGGACUCGGAUGCGGCCCCGACUCGUGCGAGAGGCGGCGGUGAGGGCUAUAGGGCAGUAGGCGGAAGGCUGAUGCGGCGACGGCGCGUAGGGGACGACGGCGUUCGAGUUGUAAUCUCCUUUCGAGCGAGAGAGAACCGCCAGGUUGGAAGCGUAGUGACGGUAGUGGUAGAAGAAGCACCGGCUAACUACGUG